AUAGAUAAAAUAGUACUUUUGAGAAAUAUUAAACUGAAUUUCACAAUUGUGACUGUCCAUCUAGUGGUUAAUAAGCGAUUUAUUAGAUAACGAUGUCGCGCGGUGGAAGUUGACACUUGACAGUUUGACACGAUAAUCAAUUAACAUAACCUGACAUAACCUCAAAUUCGCGGUGAGAGAGGACACGUGUGACGCUCGCGAUGGAUCUUGUGAAGUUGAUUCUGGAAGAUGACUAGAGAAAAACGCCUUCUCAGUUUUCACGAAGUUGCGCGUAUUUCGUCUUUUUUUAAAUGAUAUACAAUAUCUUGUAACUUUGUGCCAAGAUGCGUUUUUAUCCCUGUGUGUAUGCAUGUCUGUGAACUCUUUGUCACAACCAGAUUUAUACUUAAAAAACCUAACGAGAGACAAUGUGCAGUUGUUAAUAAAAUCUGCCAAUUGAAUGAGUGGACGAAGUUGUAAUAGUCUUUAUUGUCAAAACCUACAUACAUAUUGUCUCGUUCAUGGGUUAUUCCAAAACCUAAACCUUUAACAAAGUGCAAGCAAUUUG